CCUGCCGCUCCCCACCUUUCCACCUGUGGCAUAUCCACCAGCCCUGGAUCUCCGUGCAGUAUUUUGACCGCACAGACGAGAAUCACAAUCCCGGCGUCCAACGUCACAACUUCAAAAAGGCUCUCUGAAUUAAAGGAUGUGGUGUCCGGUUUUUGAGAAGAUUUUUAGGAGGUGUAUCAGCCUUUCACCGCUGGCAGUUUACUGUGCAGAUGAAGAGAAUAAGGCUGGGUUUGCUGUAUAUUUGUAGCCCUGGUGUGCUGACAUGUGAUGACAGAAGACUGGCAGCCUCCUCCAUCUGGCCUCGCUCUUGGAAGCAGUCUGGUUCACCUAUCUGUGUGUGUCUGAAACCCUGGCUCUUGGCUGA